UCAAGUGAAUAAGUGCAUGUGGUGGAUGCCUUGGCGAUUACAGGCGAUGAAGGACGUUGUAGCCUGCGAAAAGCCGCGGGGAGCUGGCAAACAAGCUUUGAUCCGCGGAUGUCCGAAUGGGGAAACCCACCCGCAAGGGUAUCGCUGACUGAAUCCAUAGGUCAGCGAGGCGAACGUGGCGAACUGAAACAUCUAAGUAGCCACAGGAAAAGAAAUCAACCGAGAUUCCGAAAGUAGUGGCGAGCGAAAUCGGAGCAGCCUGUGCGUGAUAGUCGAUUGGCUAGUGGAACGGUAUGGAAAGGCCGGCCAUAGAGGGUGAUAGCCCCUUACACGAAAGCGAAUCGGUGGUACUGAGCGUACGACAAGUAGGGCGGGACACGUGUAAUCCUGUCUGAAGAUGGGGGGACCAUCCUCCAAGGCUAAAUACUCGUAAUCGACCGAUAGUGAACAAGUACUGUGAAGGAAAGGCGAAAAGAACCCCGGGAGGGGAGUGAAAUAGAUCCUGAAACCGCAUGCAUACAAACAGUCGGAGCCUCGCAAGGGGUGACGGCGUACCUUUUGUAUAAUGGGUCAGCGACUUACGUUCAGUGGCAAGCUUAACCAGAUAGGGGAGGCGCAGGGAAACCGAGUCCGAAUAGGGCGCCAUAGUCGCUGGGCGUAGACCCGAAACCAGGUGAUCUAUCCAUGGUCAGGAUGAAGGUUGGGUAACACCAGCUGGAGGUCCGAACCGACUAAUGUUGCAAAAUUAGCGGAUGAACUGUGGAUAGGGGUGAAAGGCUAAUCAAACCUGGAAAUAGCUGGUUCUCCCCGAAAACUAUUUAGGUAGUGCGUCAUGUAUUGCUCCAGGGGGUAGAGCACUGUAAUGGUUGUGGGGGCCAUCGCGGCUUACCACGCCAUAGCAAACUCCGAAUACCUGGAAGUAUGAGCAUGGCAGACAGUCGCCGGGUGCUAACGUCCGGCGGCAAGAGGGAAACAACCCAGACCUACAGCUAAGGUCCCAAAGUGUGGCUAAGUGGGAAACGAAGUGGGAAGGCUAAAACAGUCAGGAUGUUGGCUUAGAAGCAGCCAUCAUUUAAAGAAAGCGUAAUAGCUCACUGAUCGAGUCGUCCUGCGCGGAAGAUGUAACGGGGCUAAGCCAUGCACCGAAGCUUAGGCUGCACUCUCUGAGUGCGGGGUAGGGGAGCGUUCUGUAAGCCUGUGAAGGUGUCUCGUAAGGGAUGCUGGAGGUAUCAGAAGUGCGAAUGCUGACAUGAGUAGCGUUAAAGCGGGUGAAAAGCCCGCUCGCCGUAAGCGCAAGGUUUCCUACGCAACGUUCAUCGGCGUAGGGUGAGUCGGCCCCUAAGGUGAGGGCGAAAGCCAUAGCUGAUGGGAAGCUGGUUAAUAUUCCAGCACCGAUUUCUAGUGCGAUGGGGGGACGGAUCGUGGAAGGUUGUCCGGGUGUUGGAAGUCCCGGUUCCUGACCUGUAGGUGUCUGGUAGGUAAAUCCGCCAGGCGUAUGCCGAGGGGUUGGGACGAGCGAGCUUGCUCGCGAAGCAACUGGAAGUGGUUCCAAGAAAAGCCUCUAAGCUUCAGCUAGAAACGACCGUACCGCAAACCAACACUGGUGCGCGAGAUGAGUAUUCUCAGGCGCUUGAGAGAACUCGGGAGAAGGAACUCGGCAAAUUGACACCGUAACUUCGGAAGAAGGUGUGCCUUGGUAGCUUGAGUGUGAACAACACAAGGGCAAAGAGGUUGCAAAGAAUAGGUGGCUGCGACUGUUUAUUAAAAACACAGCACUCUGCAAACACGAAAGUGGACGUAUAGGGUGUGACGCCUGCCCGGUGCCGGAAGGUUAAGUGAUGGGGUGCAAGCUCUUGAUCGAAGCCCCGGUAAACGGCGGCCGUAACUAUAACGGUCCUAAGGUAGCGAAAUUCCUUGUCGGGUAAGUUCCGACCUGCACGAAUGGCGUAACGACU
rnacentral:rRNA from 1 species